UACGGAGGGUGCAAGCGUUGUUCGGAAUCACUGGGCGUAAAGGGCGUGUAGGCGGCCUGUUAAGUCUGAUGUGAAAUCCCCUCGCUCAACGAGGGAACUGCGUCGGAAACUGGCAGGCUCGAGUACCGGAGAGGAAGGUGGAAUUCCCGGUGUAGCGGUGAAAUGCGUAGAUAUCAGGAAGAACACCCGUGGCGAAGGCGGCUCUCUGGGACGGUACUGACGCUGAGACGCGAAAGCGUGGGGAGCGAACAGG
rnacentral:rRNA from 1 species